UGAAACAAGGUGCGUGGUUGACUGGUCAAUUCAUAACUCUGAUGUUCGUAAUUCUGAGGUUCUACUGUAGUUGGUGUCUCUAUGAACUUUAUCCAAUGUGCUGUGAACUAAAGUAAGAAGAACAGAUUUCCCCACAUGUGCGUAUACACCCCAUCACGUUUCCCAUAAGGGAGAGCACUUCCAUUGCGCUGGAGGAGUGGGAAUGCUGGCAAUUCAAGGAGGCUGUUGCAAUGUAUUGUGUUGGUCAAAGAUCUUUUGGAGAACACUGUAGGAUUGAAAUUGGAUCUUCUCUGCUUCAAGUGACUACAAUAGAAAAGCAACAGAUCAAUGGUAUGCUCCACCCAUAUUUGACUGGCCAAGGGGGGAAAUGAUGAAGCAGGUUAAUGUGACAUAGCAGCACUGUAACACAUGUAUCUGAAGCUGUCAAAGUGAAGGAAAGCUAGACUCUGGAUUAGAUGCUCUAAGUGUGAAUCAGAACACCUCCAUUGUUGUCUUCUGCAUCAGGUGAGAAUCCUGUUAAUCCGCAUGGCUUACUGACAUUAAUGAAGGUCAUUAAUCCAACACCUGCCAGUAGCCUCCCCAGGAAUUGAAAAUGGGGGGGGGAGUGUUCAAAUUUACAAGGGGUGUGAGAGUCAGGGCUGAUGAAAGGUGAGACCCUGAAGGUCGUGAAGGUGAUGGUGGGCUGUAUGGCACCAUAAUUCACAAAACUGGG